AAGCUAGACCCAAACCGGGCCCCUCCUUCGCAGAGAAGCCCUAACGACUCCACACAUUAGGCGCCAACUGCCGCUGCUCCAGACCACCGGCCAUUGCUCAGGUUUCUCGGCCAAGCCAACACCAGCCACGGCCUCUCUCUCUCAUGCGCUCGAGCUGCAGCUGCCCACUGCUGUGAGGAGCCAUGUCGCUAGCUGCUAUGGUUUCUGGCACAAAGCGCUUUGCAUCUACGGCCACUGUCCCGACAUCUCCCUCUCUCACUCGUGUGGCUGCAAAUCACCGCCCAUCCUACGUCGACCCCGACCUCUGGCCCUGCUUCUUCCUGCAGCAACAGAACACCGCGAAGAACAGUGUAGAACAUACAAUUGGUGGUUGCUAACUGCUUUCAGUCGUGUGUGGUUCUUCUGAAGUAUUCUUUGGAUUUUGUAGCAAGUCUUCUUUAAUCUCCUCUCCAACAUCCAAACUCCAGAAAUGGAGUCCCUCUUCUCUCAAGCGGCUAAGGUGCUGCCCUGCUCACUCCUACCAACUCCAAAUGGGAAUAGAAUCUUCCUAAUACCCUUAAUCCUCUUAUUCCCUUUCUAAAAGAUGAAACCAAAUGGGUUUGUGUGUGUUAGGUUCGUGUGAUAAGAAAUUUGAUUGUUAAAUGUAUGACUACCAUGUGAAAUUUGUGUGUUGAGAGAUGACAUGUGAAAUUGGUGAGAUUGUGUUGAACUUUGAACAAUUUGAGAGGAAUGUGAGUCAGUUUUAAUGAAAUGUCAUGUUAUUAAGUGAGGAGGCGAUAAAAUGUUGUUUGCA